rnacentral:rRNA from 1 species
CCGGCGACCGGCGCACGGGUGAGUAACACGUAUGCAACCUGCCCUCUUCAGGGGGACAACCUUCCGAAAGGGAGGCUAAUCCCGCGUAUAUCGGUUUCGGGCAUCCGAGAUCGAGGAAAGAUUCAUCGGAAGAGGAUGGGCAUGCGGCGCAUUAGCUAGACGGCGGGGUAACGGCCCACCGUGGCGACGAUGCGUAGGGGUUCUGAGAGGAAGGUCCCCCACCACUGGUACUGAGACACGGACCAGACUCCUACGGGAGGCAGCAG